rnacentral:rRNA from 1 species
GGAAGAUAAUGACGGUACUUGGGGAGGAAGCCCCGGCUAACUACGGGCCAGCAGCCGCGGUAAUACGUAGGGGGCUAGCGUUAUCCGGAUUUACUGGGCGUAAAGGGUGCGUAGGCGGUCUUUCAAGGCAGGAGUGAAAGGCUACGGCUCAACCGUAGUAAGCUCUUGAAACUGGGAGACUUGAGUGCAGGAGAGGAGAGUGGAAUUCCUAGUGUAGCGGUGAAAUGCGUAGAUAUUAGGAGGAACACCAGUUGCGAAGGCGGCUCUCUGGACUGUAACUGACGCUGAGGCACGAAAGCGUGGGGAGCAAACAGGAUUAGAUACCCUGGUAGUCCACGCUGUAAACGAUGAGUACUAGGUGUCGGGGGUUACCCCC